rnacentral:rRNA from 1 species
UACGUAGGGUGCGAGCGUUAAUCGGAAUUACUGGGCGUAAGGCGUGCGCAGGCGGUUCGCUGUGUCCUGUGUGAAAGCCCCGGGCUUAACCUGGGAAUGGCAUGGGAAACUGGCGGGCUGGAGUGUGGCAGAGGGGGGUGGAAUUCCGCGUGUAGCAGUGAAAUGCGUAGAGAUGCGGAGGAACACCGAUGGCGAAGGCAGCCCCCUGGGCUAACACUGACGCUCAGGCACGAAAGCGUGGGGAGCAAACAGG